AAGACUAUACUUUUAGGGAUCAUUUCUAUAGUUCGUGACUAGAGAAGUUUCUCUGACUGUGUAGAGUACCGGAAACCACGAGGAAGAGGCGCAGUGUUCUUUCCUGAGCGUGAAGCCGGCGUUUGGUGUUGCUUUACUGUAACUACUAUCCGCCGUUGAUGAUCGUUCUUACUCCUCUUUGGGGUGUAAGAGGGAAAGAAUGCAGUCUGAGUGGUU
ensembl:snoRNA